GCUUCGGUAACUCAGCGGUAGAGUGCCUCGUUCACAUCGAGGAAGUCGGCGGUUCGAACCCGUCCCGAAGCACCA
rnacentral:tRNA from 2 species